CCUGCAUGAUGAAGGGAUGAUGGGUGAGCUACCAAGGCUAACAUUUUCCCGAGGACAUUGAGUUAGGGAAGUGGCCUCUCCUUGAGGGAAGGAGCCAGAUGACUUCUCAGAGAACAACAACCAUAUUCAAAAUAUUCUCAAGUUUCUUUUGUUUCUUCUUGUCUGCAUCUGAUAUCCAGGACAUUAUUCCACAGGAAAAGGUUAACAGGAAAUCAAGAUCGGCCCGGGCUAAGAGGAGGAUUGUAAGUGAUUCAGAAGCAAAGCUUAUUGAUCACGAAGCAUGACAGUGGAAGAAUUUCCUGAAAAUGGAAGGAGAAGAUGGUUUCACAGCAAAGCUACUAAUCUGAAACAGUAAAAGCAACAAACAAAUGCCCACUCCCCUUAGCUGACCAGAACACAAUCCUUGUGAAAUAUAAAAACAAUUAGGUACAUGUAACACAGGACACUGUUUUUCAAAUUUAAUGUUAACAGUGGGAUUAUUUGUUUUCCCUGCGACAAAUUUCUUUGUGGGAGUCUGAUAUAUCAAAUAGGAUUGGUAAAGUGAAGCAGGCACGGGCAUCUAGAAUUCUGCUGCUUCGUACUGCCCCUUCCCAGUCCCCAGUGGCCAGGAGAUGCCCCAUCAGAGCUCCAGGGCUCUCAGAUCAUUGUUUGAAAACUACUCAUCAGAAUGUCUCUUUGAAUCAGAGCUUGGAUUUCUGAUGCAUCGGACAUUUAAACUCUCCCCGUUUUGCCACCUCUCUUGCAGUGAGUUAACCUAAAACAUAAAGGGAAAAAGCAACAACAAAAAAGAUCAAAAAAGCCCAAACGAUCAAAAAAGGCACGCUGAAAUCUGUGUCCUCACCUAUUCAGAAAGUCAGGGGAAAAAAAGAUAAAAGAAUAAAUCCUAAGCAAAAGCAACUUUCCAUCGAGAUGACAAGACAGAAGCUGCUUCCUGUGCAGGAAAUGCGAGAUCUCUGCUCAGUGACAGAGGCUCAGGAAUUUCAUAGGACCUAUGGAUCUUCCAGUCCAACUGAGUGCAGAAAACUGCCAGGUUUCAUCUUCCUCCUUCUCUGCACCAAAAAACCUGAGACCGGGAUGCCAUGUAGCUGCUUCAGUUGGGAGAUGAUGCCAAGAACCACAAAUGAGGAAAUGAAGGGUCUGGCUCUUAUCACCUCUGAAUAGCAUGCCAUUCUCUUAGCCUCAUCUAAGAAACAGACUGUAGGGGAAGAGAAGAUCUAGAAUGUUGGUCACCAACCAAUGGCAGACAUUAUCAGACAAUUUGUGAGCAAGGAAGUCAGGAACUGUGAGCCACCUGCCAUCUUAAUUUGACAUCUAGUCUCACUACUUUCAAGCACCUCCACUUCAAAAUACUCUUACAAGUGAAUCACCAUUGUUAAAUGGAUCUUUGAAGGAAUUUUGACAACCAGACUGAAAACAAUCUAGACAUCUUAGAUAUUUGUGGCUUCACAGAAAAUAAAAUAAAA
rnacentral:lncRNA from 1 species